GGGUAGGGUGAGAAUUCUAAGGCGCUUGAGAGAACUCAGGAGAAGGAACUCGGCAAAUUGACACCGUAACUUCGGGAGAAGGUGUGCCUUUAGUAAGUGAAUAACUUCGCGUUAAUAGCUGAAUAAGGUUGCAAAAAAUAGGUGGCUGCGACUGUUUAAUAAAAACACAGCACUCUGCAAACACGUAAGUGGACGUAUAGAGUGUGACGCCUGCCCGGUGCCGGAAGGUUAAAUGAUGAAGUGCAAGCUUUUGAUUGAAGCCCCGGUAAACGGCGGCCGUAACAAUAACGGUCCUAAGGUAGCGAAAUUCCUUGUCGGGUAAGUUCCGACCUGCACGAAUGGCGUAACGAUGGCCACACUGUCUCCUCCUGAGACUCAGCGAAGUUGAAAUGUUUGUGAAGAUGCAAUCUACCCGCGGCUAGACGGAAAGACCCCGUGCACCUUUACUGUAGCUUUACAUUGGGUUUUGGCAAUAUUUGUUAGGAUAGGUGGGAGACUAUGAAAUAAUCUCGCCAGAGAUUAUGGAGUCGACGUUGAAAUACCACUCUAAUAUUUCUAGAAUUCUAACCUUGGUCCAUUAUCUGGAUCGGGGACCGUGUAUGGUAGGCAGUUUGACUGGGGCGGUCUCCUCCCAAAGUGUAACGGAGGAGCGCGAAGGUACGCUAGGUACGGUCGGAAAUCGUACUGAUAGUGCAAUGGCAAAAGCGUGCUUGACUGCGAGACUGACAAGUCGAGCAGGUGCGAAAGCAGGUCAUAGUGAUCCGGUGGUUCUGUAUGGAAGGGCCAUCGCUCAACGGAUAAAAGGUACGCCGGGGAUAACAGGCUGAUUCCUCCCAAGAGUUCAUAUCGACGGGGGAGUUUGGCACCUCGAUGUCGGCUCAUCACAUCCUGGGGCUGUAGCCGGUCCCAAGGGUAUGGCUGUUCGCCAUUUAAAGUGGUACGUGAGCUGGGUUUAAAACGUCGUGAGACAGUUUGGUCCCUAUCUGCCGUGGGCGUUGGAAAUUUGAAUGGGGCUGUUCCUAGUACGAGAGGACCGGAAUGGACAUACCUCUGGUGUACCGGUUAUGACGCCAGUCGUACAGCCGGGUAGCUAAGUAUGGAAAAGAUAACCGCUGAAAGCAUCUAAGCGGGAAACUUGCCAUGAGAUAAGAUUUCCCUGGGAAAAUAUUCCCCUAAAGGCUCGUUGUAGAUCACAACGUUGAUUGGUCGAGUGUGUAAGCGCAGUAAUGUGUUUAGCUAAUCGAUACUAAUUGGCCGUGGGGCUCGAUCCU
rnacentral:rRNA from 1 species